CCCCAUCAGAUCGACCCUGUUGAUCU
rnacentral:piRNA from 1 species